GUGGGAUGAUGGAUAAGGCUAACAAUGCAGCCCAAUCUACCAAGGAGACAAUGCAAGAUGUUGGUCAAAAUGUGCAGGCGAAGGCUCAAGGGGCUGCUGAUGCAGUCAAGAAUGCCACUGGCAUGAACAAAUGAAGCUGCUCAUGAUGAUCAUUUUCAUGACUUUUAAUGACUUUGUAGAGUUAAGAUGAUGGCAAAAUUUCAUUGAGUUUUAUAGACUUUUAUGUAAUUUUUUUUUUCUUUCUUACCCUUCUUUAGAAAGAAAGAAUUUAAAAUUACAUAGAAUUCCAAAAUGAUGGAAUUUAGAUCUCCAUCAUUUUAAGUUACGGCAAUUAAUAAUUUCAGUAUUUGGAUUUAUGUAUAUCGAAUUUUACAAAUAAAAUUUCACGGAAAAACGAAUUCCUUCACUCAAUAGAAAUUGCGAAAUGACGUCUCUUUUUAUUGAAAUUAAACCCAGAAAUCUUGAGUGCUUGACUUUUGUGCUAAAAUAGCCAAACAGUGAAAGUAUUAAAUUCUACUCUUCAAUUCUUUACUUUUAGCUAAAUAAUUAACGUAGGGUAAUAGCAGUAUGUAGUAUGACCAAAAGAAAACGAAUUCUAAUAUUAUCUUUUGAUCAUGAUGAAUUAACUCUUGAGAUCUAUAUAACCAAAAUAAUUAUUCAUGUAGAGAUUGAUGAAUAUCAAUUAUGAAUUCGUUGGGUUUGAGACAAUUUCAUCUCUUAUUUCUAAAGGUCUCAUUCUCGGCCUGGGUGCCUUAGAGCUUUUUGAAAUAUCCACCAGUUGACCAAACACAUUAAAAUGCACUCAAGUCAAGAAACAAGACUCGUAAAUCAGAAAUACAAGAGAACCAAACACGCACAAAAAUACAUAAUGUGAAUGAACUUGGGGUAAUUAUCAAGUAGAAAAUUUUAUAUAAAGCCGGUGUAUGCCUUAUUUUCCUCGUAAUAAGUGUUCACAUAACUAAGCACGUGAAAGAAUGUAGCGUGCAUGAAAGAGUUGGUAUAUGCAUUAUUUUUCUCGUAAUAAGUGGUCACAUAACUAAGCACGUAAAAGAACAUAGCGUGCAUGAUAAUGUAUAAAACUCAUUACACGUAAGAUUUUUUGUGGUUAAAGAUAAAACACUUGUCCAGAAACUUUGGGACAAUAUCGCUUUUAACUCAUGUGGAGGUUAACCCAACAAGUUUAUUAGCAUUUACUCAUUAAUUAGAUGUUCUGGCCUUUCAAUCAAAUAAUAAUAUCUUGUGGCUUAUGGAACAAUCUUGUGAAUUGUAAUUAAUUGAUAAUAUAAUCCAAUAUUACAAUAAUUCCAUAAUGCUGAAAAAAGUAAUUUCCAUUCAAAAAACUGUCUAAGAAACCCUCAGAAUAGCAACUUGGAAGACUCAACAGCCUUCCUGGUCAGAAGGCUCACCCUAAGUUAUAGGGCGACACGUUUUAUGGUCCAAAACCAUGACCUGGAUGAAAUGUGUGCCUGGCAUCACACAUGUCGAGCAUUCAGCUGGUCUAAAAUCGUAUAUAAACCAUACCCAAUUGUGAGAUAUUCAUCAUUAGCAAACCAAAUUUGAGGUAUAAAAACAUCAUCUGAAUUUCAAGUGUUUUCAAGAAAACAAAGCAAGAAGAAAAUGGCUGACAACUCUCAGAAGAUGAGCUACCACGCUGGUGAGGCCAAGGGCCAAGCUCAGGUAAUUAGCUCAUGUGUAAUUCUCCAUUUGUUUUUACUUAUUUCUUCUACUUUCUUUUAAAUAUUACAUUAUUAUAUGUGAAUGUGCAUUGAGAUUGAUGUGGGGUGUUUUGUAUUGGAUACUUUUGGAUUUAACAGGAGAAGGCUAGUGGGAUGAUGGAUAAAGCUAACAAUGCAGCCCAAUCUACCAAGGAGACAAUGCAAGAUGUUGGUCAGAAUGUGCAUGCGAAGGCUCAAGGAGCUGCUGAUGCAGUCAAGAAUGCAACUGGCAUGAACAAAUGAAGCUGCUCAUGAUGAUCAUUUUCAUGACUUUUAAUGACUUUAUAGAGUUAAGAUGAUGACAAACUUUGUUUGAGUUUUAUAGACUUUUAUGUAAUUUUUUUUUCUUUCUUACUCUUCUUUUGAACGAAGGAACUGAAAAUUGCAUAGAAUUCUAAAAUGAUUGAAUUUAGAUCCCCAUCGUUUUCAUUUAUGGUAAUUAAUAAUUUUAGUAUUCGGAUUUAUGUAUGUUAAAUUUUGUAAAUGACAUAAAUUUU
rnacentral:lncRNA from 1 species